UACGUAGGGUGCAAGCGUUGUCCGGAAUUAUUGGGCGUAAAGGGCUCGUAGGCGGUCCAUCGCGUCGGGAGUGAAAAGCUGGGGCUUAACCCCAGUCCUGCUUUCGAUACGGGUGGACUAGAGGUAGGCAGGGGAGAACGGAAUUCCUGGUGUAGCGGUGAAAUGCGCAGAUAUCAGGAGGAACACCGGUGGCGAAGGCGGUUCUCUGGGCCUUACCUGACGCUCAUGCACGAAAGCGUGGGGAGCAAACAGG
rnacentral:rRNA from 1 species